rnacentral:rRNA from 1 species
AGUGAACGCUGCGGUAGGCCUAACACAUGCAAGUCGAACGGCAGCACAGGAGAGCUUGCUCUCUGGGUGGCGAGUGGCGGACGGGUGAGGAAUGCAUCGGAAUCUACUCUUUCGUGGGGGAUAACGUAGGGAAACUUACGCUAAUACCGCAUACGACCUACGGGUGAAAGCCGGGGACCUUCGGGCCUGGCGCGAAAGAAUGAGCCGAUGCCCGAUUAGCUAGUUGGCGGGGUAAGAGCCCACCAAGGCGACGAUCGGUAGCUGGUCUGAGAGGAUGAUCAGCCACACUGGAACUGAGACACGGUCCAGACUCCUACGGGAGGCAGCAGUGGGGAAUAUUGGACAAUGGGCGCAAGCCUGAUCCAGCCAUACCGCGUGGGUGAAGAAGGCCUUCGGGUUGUAAAGCCCUUUUGUUGGGAAAGAAAAGCAGUCGGUUAAUACCCGAUUGUUCUGACGGUACCCAAAGAAUAAGCACCGGCUAAUACA